GACGAACGCUGGCGGCGUGCUUAACACAUGCAAGUCGAGCGGAAAGGCCACUUCGGUGGUACUCGAGCGGCGAACGGGUGAGUAACACGUGAGUAAUCUGCCCUUGGCUUUGGGAUAGCCACCGGAAACGGUGAUUAAUACCGGAUACGACCACUUCUCGCAUGGGAUGGUGGUGGAAAGUUUUUUCGGCCAGGGAUGUGCUCGCGGCCUAUCAGCUUGAUGGUGAGGUAAUGGCUCACCAUGGCUUCGACGGGUAGCCGGCCUGAGAGGGUGACCGGUCACACUGGGACUGAGGCACGGCCCAGACUCCUACGGGAGGCAGCAGUGGGGAAUAUUGGACAAUGGGCGGAAGCCUGAUCCAGCAACGCCGCGUGAGGGAUGACGGCCUUCGGGUUGUAAACCUCUUUCAGCAGGGACGAAGCGCAAGUGACGGUACCUGCAGAAGAAGCACCGGCCAACUACGUGCCAGCCGCCGCUGUAACAC
rnacentral:rRNA from 1 species